CGAAGGUGAAAACGAUCACGAGGACUAAUCAUUCUACAGUUUCAGUUACAUGCGUGUGAUCUAAUUUCCAUGGAAUAUUCGAAUGUCCCAAAUGGGUUUGCACCUGCAUCCUUUCAUUUUUCUGCUAGGAUCGAGUCAAAGUAAUUUAUCUUUGGUCAUUCCUUUUGCAGGCAAAGGAGCACUUAAGCUCUGCACGUUCCAAAACACACAUAUGCAUAUCAAUUUGAGAUCAGGUGCAAAAUCCAGGUAUCGGAAGGUAGCAAUUGGACUGAAGUUUCAGCGACUUGGAAAGUUUGCUAACAUUUACAUCACCAUCGCGUAGGCUUCCAUUUGUACCAAGAGAGAAUGUAAAUUAUAGUUGUCUCUCAUUCUGUAAAGUAUUAAAGCAUAUAUCUUAAUACAAGUAUUACCAUGGUGUAAACCAUUCACAAGAAGACAUGAAGGAGAAAACCCACAAAGGACAAAUACAGCCACAUCCAAAUAACCAUAAAAAUGUCAUUCUCAAGAGAAAUUACGGAAGGAGAGCAUGAUCAUGGAACGGGCUGCCAUAACAAAGGCCUCAGAAACCGUAACGCUAACUCUUUUUCAAAGUGGCAUUUGCACACAAACAACUAUAAUAAGAAGCAUUCGCCAAAGAAUGUCUGGAAAUUUCAGCCCAACAUACCAAAUAUAAAUAGCAUGUCAAGUACUAGUGCUCCAUCAGGAAUUGACAACGAUUCUUGUCAUGCAUGCUAAUGGUUUGAUUAGUCUCAUACAACUAGGUACACUACCAAAAACACUACCGGCCUUCACCAAAUAAGAAGUGCCCUGGUUCCUGUGUUCUACUUGUCAUGUUAUAGAUGACUACCAGUUGUAGAAGUUGCAGAAGAUUUCUAUCGAAACAGGGCACCCGCCAUCUCUGUUACUAUAACUGGAUUCACACUCAAAACCCACUGAACCAGUGAAUGUGGGUGCAACAAAAGUUUGCCUUGGUUCAUCAACAAAAAUCCAUAGUUUCACCAAUAAGACACUGCUAACACCAUUAACUCUAAGGAGCUUUCAAUUAAUCAUAGAGGUGGAAACACGGGAAGUGUCAAGUGGCAGACAGAUUCUUCUAAUCAAUUUGACAUCAGACUAGUAGUUUACCAAGUAUGAAUAACCUAUAAUGGUCUGGAACCCAUGUCUAACGACGCAGCAACAAUUUCUGUCAGACCUCCCAACCUCAGAAACACCAUCCAGCCACUUAUCAAAAACAAAAUUAAGCAUAUUUAAAUAUGUGGCUACUUCAGCCAGAAGCGCAAACAAAAUAGAAGCUUUCCUGAAUAAAGAUUGACGACCUACCAAAAGCUUCGGAAUCAUUUGAUAAUUAUUUCCUAUGCAUGUAAUUAAACAAGUCACAGUUACCGGUGCACUAAAUGGAAAGCGAAUGAGAAAUCUGUAAAUCCCAAUAUGUCUGUAAAUUUUCAAGUUGUCACCGGAGUAUCAAUCUGCAUAUCAUCUCUAAACUGUUUCAGUGUAGCUGUAUGGAUAUCUCAACCCCACCAAGAUCAUUUGCUCUCGAUGUCAUAUAGAUCUGUU